CUGAGUUAUCUGUGGAGAGAGAGAUGAGGUCGGGCGCUGAGUUAUCUGUGGAGAGGGAGAGGAGGUCGGGGCGCUGAGUUAUCUGUGGAGAAGGAGAGGAGGUCGGGGCGCUGAGUUAUCUGUGGAGAGGGAGAGGAGGUCGGGGCACUGAGUUAUCUGUGGAGAGGUGGUUGGGCCAGCUUUCUGUUUAAACAGAACUUGAUUUGUGGAAAUAUUUAUUGGCAGUGUCAGGCACUUGAGGAGGGAGAUGCUUGCCUUCGCCAAAUAAGGAAGCACCUUCCCAGCAUGCACUAUGCUGAAGGCAGCCCCCACGUUUAAGCUCACACCACAGUUCUGCUGUUCUAGAAAAAAAGUUAAUUUUUAGUGGUUUUCAUCAUAAAUGCAUCAAUUGCAUCAAAUUUUUGAUAUACAAUUUAUUUGAAGGAAAGGGCUUUAUUAGGUUAUCUGUAGUGACUUAUCACUGUUAGCUUUGUCACUGUUAGUUUUGGCAACCUACAACAAAUAUUUCACCCAAAAUGAAAUACAUUUUUUACAUGUAAGUACUGCUGCUGUAGGCUCGUCCUUCAGGACCUGAAGGCUGUGAUGAAGGAACAGGAAGAAGGGAGGGCUAAAGCGGGACCAGCGUGGACUCUGAGAUGCGGUCAUGCUUUGCCCAAACGGUCGGUCAUUUUGGGCUUCAGGAGUCUGAGUGCCAUGCGUGCCCGUCUCUCUUCCCCGCUCCUCUGAAGCCCUUCCAAGAGGCUCUGCUCAAUAAAGCAGGUCCCACUCCGGGCUCCGCUCCAACAGCCACUGCUUUUCUUCACUUCCUUCAAACACAGGGGUUGGCUUUUGAAGGGGAAAAAAGCAAAAUGAGCUUUGCUUUGAGUCUUCUUAGUGAGAAAUGCUUUUUUUGCAUCAGAGGAAGCUUCAUGAUCAUUGACAGGCUGUCUGGGCGAAGAUGACGGGCCAUUUUGAUCGGGGUGAUAUUGUCUGAUGACAAGCUGUUUGCAACACCUUCACAACUGUCAGGCUUUUUGUUUAUAUAAAUAUAUUGGCCGGGAAUGUUAAUCCAGAGAGAGAAAAUAAUUAAUGAAAAUCUCAUGCUUGUACAUGAGAUAGAUCAUACUUUGUUUUUCUCUUUGAUUUAAGAAUUUUCUUCUUUAUUUGUCAGUGCUGUUCUCCUGCAUCAAUAUUGCACCUCACCUGUGAUGUAAGGUGAAAGUAGGGAAAAAGUACACCUGCAGGCAUCCAGCCGUGAGCUGCUCACCUGUCAGGCUGCAGUGGCCCUGUGCUUUUCCUUGGCUUCGGUCUACAUAGGACUUUACAUUGAUAGUAGUUGCCAUGGAAACAUACAUAUACUGAAUUCCCUUAACGCUACUGCUCUGACACUUACUGUUUUGUGCUUGUCGUAACCCACUGAGGUUUUCAUUAUACCGUUCAGACUGUGUGCUCCUAUGAUACAUUUGUUGAUUGUGGUUAUUCUGGUAAUAUUUAUAGACCUGUGUUUAUUUUACACCAUCAUGGCCUAUUUCCUGACUGCAGAACUAUCGGGUGGGCAGCACAAUAGCAUUUAGGGGAAACGGCAUCUUCCUGUGACUCACAGGAUGUUUGGGCCUAUUAAAUGCUGGGAAUGUCUGUGCAAUUUGUCAGCAUUAAAUCACACGCCAAAUUUACUGUAAGAGGCCACAGGCUCCUGACUGGACUGAGAAUCAGUGUCCUGACCAGGUCAAUCGCUGGUUUCCUCCUCACUGAAGAAAGCAACCGUGGCGAUGGCUGCACAGGACUGUGGGAUUGGCACAUGUUUACGCGGGUGGAGAGGAGAGGUCGUUAGGUGGGAUUGGCCCAUGUUUACGCGGGUGGAGAGGUCGUUAGGCGGGAUUGGCGCAUGUUUACGCUGGUGGAGAGGAGAGGUCGUUAGGUGGGAUUGGCGCAUGUUUACGCUGGUGGAGAGGAGAGGUUGUUAGGUGGGAUUGGCGCAUGUUUACGCGGGUGGAGAGGUCGUUAGGCGGGAUUGGCACAUGUUUACGCGGGUGGAGAGGUCGUUAGGCGGGAUUGGUGCAUGUUUACGCGGGUGGAGAGGAGAGGUCGUUAGGCGGGAUUGGCGCAUGUUUACGCGGGUGGAGAGGAGAGGUCGUUAGGCGGGAUUGGCGCAUGUUUACGCGGGUGGAGAGGUCGUUAGGCGGGAUUGGCGCAUGUUUACGCGGGUGGAGAGGAGAGGUCGUUAGGCGGGAUUGGCGCAUGUUUACGCGGGUGGAGAGGAGAGGUUGUUAGGCGGGAUUGGCGCAUGUUUACGCGGGUGGAGAGGAGAGGUCGUUAGGCGGGAUUGGCGCAUGUUUACGCGGGUGGAGAGGUCGUUAGGCGGGAUUGGCGCAUGUUUACGCGGGUGGAGAGGAGAGGUCGUUAGGUGGGAUUGGCACAUGUUUACGCGGGUGGAGAGGAGAGGUUGUUAGGCGGGAUUGGCGCAUGUUUACGCGGGUGGAGAGGUCGUUAGGCGGGAUUGGCACAUGUUUACGCGGGUGGAGAGGAGAGGUCGUUAGGCGGGAUUGGCGCAUGUUUACGCGGGUGGAGAGGAGAGGUCGUUAGGCGGGAUUGGCGCAUGUUUACGCUGGUGGAGAGGAGAGGUCGUUAGGUGGGAUUGGCGCAUGUUUACGCGGGUGGAGAGGUCGUUAGGCGGGAUUGGCGCAUGUUUACGCGGGUGGAGAGGUCGUUAGGCGGGAUUGGCGCAUGUUUACGCGGGUGGAGAGGUCGUUGGGGGGAUUGGCGCAUGUUUACGCGGGUGGAGAGGUCGUUAGGCGGGAUUGGCGCAUGUUUACGCGGGUGGAGAGGUCGUUAGGCAGGAUUGGCGCAUGUUUACGCGGGUGGAGAGGUCGUUAGGCGGGAUUGGCGCAGGUUUACGCUGGUGGAGAGGUCGUUAGGCGGGAUUGGCGCAUGUUUACGCGGGUGGAGAGGUCGUUAGGUGGGAUUGGCGCAUGUUUACGCGGGUGGAGAGGAGAGGUCGUUAGGCGGGAUUGGCGCAGGUUUACGCGGGUGGAGAGGAGAGAUUGUUAG